rnacentral:rRNA from 1 species
CCUACGGGAGGCAGCAGUGAGGAAUAUUGGUCAAUGGACGCAAGUCUGAACCAGCCUUGCCGCGUGCAGGACGACGGCUCUAUGAGUUGUAAACUGCUUUUGUACGAGGGUAAACGCAGAUACGCGUAUCUGUCUGAAAGUAUCGUACGAAUAAGUAUCGGCUAACUCCGUUCCAGCAGCCGCGGUAAUCCGGAGGAUUCAAGCGUUAUCCGGAUUUAUUGGGUUUAAAGGGUGCGUAGGCGGUCGGAGAAGUUAGAGGUGAAAUCCCGAGGCUCAACUUCGGAAUUGCCUCUGAUACUGUGCGGCUAGAGAGUAGUUGCGGUAGGCGGAAUGUAUGGUGUAGCGGUGAAAUGCUUAGAGAUCAUACAGAACACCGAUUGCGAAGGCAGCUUACCAAGCUACUUCUGACGUGGAGGCACGAAAGCGUGGGGAGCAAACAGGAUUAGAUACCCUGGUAGUC